GCACGCGCGGCCGCCGCUUCCGCCGCUUCCGCCGCUUCCGCCGCGUCACUCUCCCCCGCGAAACGCGUUUCCACGCUGAGGAGAAACCCGAGAAGCGGCCUUGGGGUGCCGGGUCCACGCGGGGUGGGGCAGCCGCGGAAACGCCCGGCGGCCCGCGGUCACCCAGGGCUGCGCUCUGCCCGUGUCGGUCGCCCUCGUGUCUCUCCGUCCCCGCGGGCAACGGCCGAGGGCGCCACCCGCAGCCUCCGGGAGCCGGGCCCCUCCGGCCAUUCUCGGCCCACGCCCUCGGACGUCCGCCUGCUCCUGCUCCGUCGGCUUCUUCGUCGCUGGCGGCCCCGCAAGGCCGCGGGGCCCGCGUCACGGGGUCCCGGGAGCUGCCCGCGCCGGGCGGGCGGGCGGAGGCCCCAACGCCGAGGCCCCGACGCCGCCACCUGCUGCUCGGCCGCGUCGCCCGGAGCGGGAGGGACGGAGGGAGGCCCAGGGUCGGGGAGCAGCGGCCACCACCCCACGGGCCCACGCGAGCAGGCGGGCCGCGCCGAGGACGCCCGGCGACGAGAGCCCCGCGGACCGCGAGGCGGGGACACGAGGAGCGGCCAUGGGGCCGCGGCCGACGGGACUGCUCGCCCCCCGCCUCCGCGCGCCGCGCCGGCCGAAGCCUCAGGCCUCCCCGGGUGGGCCUGCCGGGCGCGGCCCCUUUGCCGCCGCCAUAGGGGCCCGCGGCCUACCUGCCACGCGGCGCCGGGCCUACCUCACCUGAGGCGGCUCCGGGCUCCCCCCCCGAGGCGGCACCGGGCCUCCCCGCAGGCAGCGCCGGGCCUUCUCCCCCCCACCCCCCCGCAGCGCCGGGCCUGCCCCCCUGAGGCGGCGCCAGCCCCCCCCGCCCCCGGGCUGGGCCCAGCACCUGCACCCGCCCCCUGCGGGACCCGGCGCAGCAGUAGGCCGGCAGGGCGGGGGCGGCCGCAGGUGCCCAGGUGCACAGGUGCACAGGCGGCGGCUUCCUGCCGGGCACAGACACCGGGGCUGCGGCGCAGGACGGGGCGGCGGGCCUCUGGGAGCCUCGAGGCCGACAAGGGCUGCCCCGCCUCCUUCCAAGGCCGUGGGCGCUUCCUUCCAGGGCCGGGGGUCCCGGACCUCGGGGGUCCUCGUCCGCAGCGCCCAGCCCGCAGCCGCCGGUCCUUAGGCGCCGCCGCGGCCCAGGGAGGCCCGAGGCCCAGGGAGGGCCCGAGGGAACAAUGGAGCCCGGAGCCGCGGCCGCCGAGGGGGAGCGGGCCAGGGGCCGGGGGAGGCGGAGUCAAGGGCCGCGGCGGCCGGUGGGCAUGGAGGGCGGGGCCUGCGCCCCGGGGUGCCCUGCCCUCCGCGCGCUCCGCCCGCACCCCUACCUGCACCUGCUGCACAGCGCGGGGAGCAGCGCCGGCCGCCACCUGCCCUCGCCGCCCACCUGCCCUCGCGGCCCACCUGCCCUCGCAGCCCACCUACCCUCGGUGCGCCCCACCCGCGCCCCUACCUGCACCUGCUGCACAGCGCGGGGAGCAGCGCCGGCUGCCACCCGCCCUCGCCGCCCACCUGCCCUCUGCCGCAGCCCGGCCGCAGCUGGCCACGGGGUGGGAUGAGAGAGUCCACGCCGGAAAAGGCCCAUCUGCCUUGACCACAAAGUCCUUCAGCAGCCGCCGAGCCUUUCGGUGCCGCCCUGAUGCUGCUCCAGGUCUGAUUGCUAGGAUCUCCUUAUUACCUGGGUGGAGCCAUUACGUCGACAGGUCGAAAGGAUUUUUUUUCCCCAGGAGGAUGCAGCCACAACUUAAAUCAAGCGAUCUGCUUCCUUUCGGCUCCUUAGGGAGAGCUCCCCGGCCACCUGGCUGGAAUCAGAUCCACUGUGUAUCUUAUUAA
rnacentral:lncRNA from 12 species